UCAACACAAUUCCCUCCGAAUUUUAGCAGGAAAGCAAGAGUGCUGGAAAAGCUCUUAUUAUGAAAGUUAAUUCUUGACUAUUAAAACAAUGGUUUGACAAAAUAAGAGUUUAGGGCCACUCAGUGGACCCCUCAGUACACAGCACAGCACAGCAGUCAUACGAGGUGGUACAGGAAGAGGAUGAUGUGUGUACGGGUUACCAGGAAACAGAGGUGUGACUUAAGAAGAACAGCAUAUGCAGCCAUGAAAACACACCACAGAUGAUCGUUCCUAAAGUCAGCCAUGAAAGACAACAAGAUGAUCACACUCUUCUACAUAACCUUUAAUAUCGUACUGGUCUCAGGUUCCUCUCUCAGUCACAAAGUCCAGCAGAGUCCAGCUAACAUUUACAAGCAACCAGCAGAAACAGCCAAAAUCAGCUGUUCACACAGUAUUGACAGAUACGAUCAAAUAUUCUGGUACAAGCAGAUAAAUAACACACAGCUUCAUCUCCUAGGAUACAUGUAUGGAAACAAGGAAUACCCAGAGCCUGGAUCUGGUGUGAAAAUGGACGGGAGUGCGAAUAAAGAUCAGACGUGCACAUUAACAAUUGAAGGACUGAACCUGAACAGCAGUGCAGUGUAUUUCUGUGCUGCUAGUUUACACAGUGAAACACAUCAUCUGCUCCUCAGUACAAAAACCUGCACAUGAGGUUCUUUCAUCAGCUGCCAGCCCCUUACACACGCACCCUCCUCUCAUUAGGUGGCAGUAUUUGUACUUUCUGUUACUCUGAACUAUAACGACAGUUGAUAUGACAGUUAUAAAGUUGAGAGAAGAGGGAGUUGACUGAUACAGGAGGUGUAACUGCUGAUGGACUGAAGAAAACACAAUGAUCCACUGCAACAAGGUUUAACCAAACAGCCAGAGAACACAAAAUGAUUGUCCUAUAUUAUUUUAUCUUCAGCGUGACUUUAAACAAUAUUUUGGUUUCAGGUUCCUCUCUCA